rnacentral:lncRNA from 1 species
AUGACUAAGCCAUCAAUCUGUCCCCAGGGAGUAGAUCCAAUGACAUUUCAUCUUGGACACAGGCAGACAGCUGUAUUCCCGGAUGGGAAUGAACAGAACUGCAGCCAGCAAAUUCCUAAUUUUGAGCUCCGACCAUCUCUGGGACUAGGGUCUUCUCAGACAUUCCCAGCAGUCCUGAGUUUCAUCCAGACAUCUGUGGGGGACCUUCCAGGGAAGCGGUGGGAUGCUCACUGCCCCAUGAGGACUCUUCGAUGGCCUUCCCAGAGCGCCCAGCCUGAGCAGAUGCGGUCUGGAACUAGAGGGAAGCUGUGUUACAUCACACGCUCGGGCAGCCGGCCCUGAAAUAGUCCCUCAGCCCCACUCACAUAUCCAAGCAGCCAGAGUCCUCCACACUACCUCCCAAGGCCGUCCAGGAUCCACUUCUCUUCUUCCCCGUCUCCAGCUCCCCAAGGUGGGACCAGUCUCCUCACCGGUCCACCAACCUCAGAUCUUUCGCCUCCAGUCUGUCUGUGGGGAGCAGGGCUAGCUGAGGACAAAGCACAGCUGAUACCCCACAAACUACCCCCAAGGAGAUGAGACAGGUGUGACAUUCCUCAGGAAGUUUCUCAUCUUCUUAUUGUUACUGCCUUGCUAGAGGGAAAAGCAAUCUUUGACUUGACAAUGGCAAGGCCUCCAGUAUCUCUCGAUCCUCCUUAGCAUAUGAAAAUCCUUUUGAAAUCUCCCUUUUCCUUACCUCCCCCAACUCCCAGGUAUAUAAUCAGCCACCCUCACAAGCCUGGGACAGCUGCUCUUCCUGCCCCCGGGGCCUGUCCCAGUGCUUUAUUUAAUAAAACCACCAUUUCACACCAAAGACGUCUCAAGAAUUCUUUCUUGGUUGUGGGCUCCGGACCUCACCUACGUUCCAAAACUUCAUCUUGUCCGCAUGCCAUAGCCAACGAGACCCUUGCCAGCUGAGAACUUCUGUUUGCAAGAUGGUGAAAAGGUGGCAAGGCCCCUUUCUUUUACCCGAAACCAUCUCACACCAAGCGCAAGCUCCAUUUUCAGUAAAACCUAAAAAAGUAAAACCUAAAACACAAAAUGGGUGGCAGGGUUGACCCCAAACAGUGGAUCUUCAGCAGAGGGGCUCGCAGGAGGAAGUGGCAUGGGGGGGGCACCGGGCCAUCGAGUCUUAGGGACGGUAAGGGGCACAAGUGGAGGAGCAAGGGAGAGGCCUCAUGUGCAACAGCAGGAAGCAGGUGCUCACGCUGGUGGCAGGGGUUCUGCGGGACCAGGACACAGUCCGUCUCCGUGGCAACACUGAGGAGCAGGAGAGACUUUGAACCGGGAAGAGCCUCAUCGUUGGUAAAGAGAAUCCAAGGCUAAGUGCUCUUAUAUUGACCCUGGGUCAUAAGGAAAAUGUAGCCCUCCUGGAAGCCCCCCGUGGCUGCUGUCAUGCAAGAGCAAAAUAACCCACCUGCUCCAAGGAUGAGUAAUCUAUACAAAGCAAUGACAAGAAAAAAAAGGGUCGGAGUGGGGGGGUGGGGGCAGCCCCAGUGGCCCAGCGAUUUAACACCACCUUCAACCCGGGGUGUGAUCCUGGAGACCUUGGAUCGAGUCCCAUGUUGGGCUCCCUGCAUGGGGCCUGCUUCUCCCUCUGCCUGUGUCUCUGCCUCUUUCUCUCUCUCUCUCUCUGUCAUGAAUAAAUAAAUAAAAUCUUUUUUUUAAAAAAAAAAAGCGGUUGGUGGAGGUGGGGUGGUGGGGGAAAAACACAAAGCAGGCAAGAAGACGCACCAAGAAACAUUGCCAGGGAGCAGAUGAACAAUCUACCCAGAAAAUUAAGAGAACAGGGGCACCCAGGUGGCUCAGCGGUUGAGCGCCUACCUUUGGCCCAGGGCGCGAUCCCGGUGUCCGGUGAUCGAGUCCCACGUCGGGCUCCCUGCAUGGAGCCUGCUUCUCCCUCUGCCUGGGUCUCUCUCUGCCUCUCUCUGUGUGUCUCUCAUGACUAAAUAAAUAAAUCUUUAAAAAACCAACCAACCAACCCCUGCAUGGCUCUCCUUGCCGAGAGCAUAAAUAGCAAGUGCACACUCCAGAUGGCUUGGUGGUAGGGGCGACCAUAGAAUGUGUUCCCCAACAGGGCAGUUCUGAGGUCGACAGGGGGUGCUCCAUGUGUAACCCGAGGCUAAGGUCACCCACCUAUGCGGCAGUUGUGACCUGAUCCGUGCUGCCCUCCCCAGCCACACCUCACUGCCCGCAGCUCGGGGUGGGAGGGGGGCACCCAAAGCCCAGCCACAGGCCAGCCCUCCGCACAGGGGCUGCUCCCCCUGCCUCUCUGCCUCAUACUCUCUCUCCUUCCCGCACCCUCAUUCUUCUUUCUCUCCACCCCAUCCCUGAUUCUGUCCAACGCCCUUUGGGUCUGAAUGGACCCCUCAACACUUACACAUUUUACCACUUCGAAAAGGUACAUUUCCCCUCUACAUGCGCACAUCUGAAAUUAGAAUAGGGCUCACCAUCCACAGCAUGUCCAGUUUCAUCCACAGCAUUUUUCCUGGAGGACCGUGAAUUAACAGCACAUCUUACAACAGAAGGCAUCUUAGAUUUGAUGACACGUGUUAUCACUCUGUACUAUAACUGUCUAGUUCCACGGCUAGCUUCUCACUAACUGGGAUAUCUUUGGGGGCUGUCCUGUGUGUGAUUUUUCAUUGAAUCCCCAGUGGCACUUACUGGGAAACAGCAGGGACACAGUAAAUAAAUUCUACAAUGAGCUAGAAAUUUCAGAUAAAAAAAAAAAAAUGGGUUAGGGAUAGGGGAUUUCCUCUUGAAAACUUCAAAAAGUUUUGUUUUGUUUUGUUUUUUUCCUCCUAAAGAUUUCUGGUUUUAUUGGGUCUUUGGGUCUCCAAAUACCCAAACUUGAAGGAAUGAAGAAAAUCAAGUUCCAUGUAAAAUACAUCUUUGUGUUUCUAACGGCAGGACUUCAGGUCUAUACAGGAAAGUGAAAUCAAAGGGAAAAAUAUAUAUUUUCUAUUUUCUUUCAGUGUUUCCAUCCAAUCCUUGACUUGGUUUACACAGUAAAAGUGACAAAGUGCAGAAGAACAUAUUCAUUCAUUCAACAAACAUCCACGGAGGCCCCAUGAUGAUUUGCCUGCGUUUUUUUUUUCUUUUCUUUUCUUUUUUCUUUUUCUUUGCCUGCAUUUUGUUCCAAACUGAUGACACCACAGCAAGUAAGACCACGUCUCCCCCCACCCCCUGCCGGCCCCCAGCUCACAAUCUAGUGAUGACUGUGAGACAGUAACAUACGCACAAAUACAAAUAUAUAACAUGUCAGAAGUGGUGGUUAUGAUGAUGAUAAUAAUAGGAAAAUAUAGCGUUUUGCUAUAUUUGGGGGGGGUCCCCAGGCUUAUCUGAUCAUAACAAGCACCAGGAAGCUCAUUAAAAACAGAUUCACGGGCCCAUUGCCAGGCCCACUGAUCUGAGACCUCCAGGGGAGAGACCUGGCGAAAUCAUUUGAAGGAAUGCUCCAGUUGCUUCUUGUGAUCACUGGAGGCCUAGGCUGGAUCAGAGGUUUUGAACUUUGGCCACAUGAUAGAAUCACGUGCAGAGCUCUCAAGUAUAUGACACCCAGGUUCCUCUGCUAAAUAUUGUGAUUUAAUCCAUCCAGGUGAGUCCCGAGUUUUGUAUUUAUAUACAAGCUCACCUGGUAAUGCUAGUGGGCUGCCGCAAGCCCUUGGCUUCAGGGAUGGCUGGAGAUCAGAAAUCAGGAACUUGCUGCCUUUGGGUUGUCCGCUGCCCAUGCUGGCCAGGAGGCCGCAUUAGGCCUUUCCACCCAGCUGCCCGCCUGUCCAAGACUAAAUGUCUUCAGAUCUACACCCAAGGACAGACUGGUGGCCAACUGGACUACCGUGUUUUUGCAUCUGCUUUUAUACUUUUAUAAAAAAAAAAAAGUUUGUUUUUUUUUGGCUCUGCUUCCUGUACAGAGCCAAAUCUGAGCGGUGACCCCUACUAUAACAUUUCAGCCCCGCCAGGCCCCAAGACCUUCUGCGCACAGCUGUGACUACCUGGAGAACGCUCCCAGUCACUGAGCACAGGCUGCUCUUCAUUAGCAAUUUCUUUGGAAAGUCCCCAGUGUAUCAUUUCCAUUAGUAACUUCAUUUUGAAAUCCCAUCAAGUCUAUCAGGUGCUAUGCCAGGAACCCACUAGGCAAACAUCCUAACAUCUCUCUCUUAAAAAAAAAAAAAAAAAAAGAACAGAACAGAAAAGCAAAGAAAAAAAAAAUGAUUUCCUUUUUCAGCUCAAAAUUUCCAAAAUCAUUACAUCCCUACACCUGGCCUGUGAGGGGA